GACGAACGCUGGCGGCGUGCUUAACACAUGCAAGUCGAACGGAAAGGCCAUGAUCUUGUGGCGUGCUCGAGUGGGGAACGCGUGAGUAUCACGCGAGUAACAUGCACCUGUAUUUGGGAUAACUUCAGGAAACAGGGGCUAUUACCCGAUAGGAGCUCCUGCAGCAUAGGGUGGGAUGGAAAGAUUCGGCGGUUGGGGCUGGUCUCGCGGCAUAUGCGCUUGUUGGUGGGGUAGUGACUUACCAAGGCUUCGACGGGUACCGUGCCUGGGAGGCUGAACGGCCACAUAGGGACUGAGAGACGGCCCACGCUCCUACGCUAGCCAGCAGUGGGGAAUAUUGCCGAAUGAGCGGAAGCCUAGUGCAGCAACUCUGCGUGCCGUAUAACGGCCUUCGGGUUGAAAACCGAUUUCGCAUGUGACGAAGCGUGAGUGACGGUAAUGGGUAAAGAAGCACCGGCUAACUACGUG
rnacentral:rRNA from 1 species